AGAAUAUAAGAAAUCUUCUCUUAGUUUUUAACUAAAAAAUUUAAGAACCAUUAAGAGCCGGUUCUUAACUUUUUUAGUUAAAAACUAAGAGACGGUUUCUUAUAUUCC
rfam:Brassica napus, WGS project CCCW01000000 data, contig: 19020